rnacentral:rRNA from 1 species
AGUGACUCGCGUCCUAUCAGCUAGUUGGUGGGGUGAAGGCCUACCAAGGCGAUGACGGGUAGCCGACCUGAGAGGGUGGCCGGCCACACUGGAACUGAGAUACGGUCCAGACUCCUACGGGAGGCAGCAGUGGGGAAUAUUGAGCAAUGGGCGAAAGCCUGACCCAGCGACGCCGCGUGGGGGAAGAAGUCUUUCGGGAUGUAAACCCUUGUUGUACGGGACGAAACGAAUGACGGUACCGUACGAGGAAGCCCCGGCAAACUACGUGCCAGCAGCCGCGGUAAUACGUAGGGGGCGAGCGUUGUCCGGAAUUACUGGGCGUAAAGCGCACGUAGGCGGGCUGUCAAGUCGGCCGUGAAAG